AGAAAUUGAAAGAGGAGGAGAGGAGGAGAGACCCACAGUUGAUCUCUGAGAAGUGAGUAGCUGGAGGCACCAGGAUACCAGCCAAGCCUAAAGGAUAAAGCAAAUCCCUGGACAUGGCUUUUGAUUCCAAGCUAAGAAGUGCAAGUAUUAACAGCAUCAGUCACAGUAGCUGAGUAUCUCCUGUGAGCUUCCAUAGGAAUUGAGCUUGUCUUUACAAGCUCUUCCAAAUACAACUGCAACUGCCAAGAGAUUGAUGGACCAGAGAAUGGCCUCUUCAUUCCAGGCACUUCUAAAGUCCAAGUGGUCAAAUACCAGCCUCUUUUUACCAAUGUUCCCACCUGUUUCAUUCAGCCAAAUUUCAUUAGAUGAAGGAAGGUGGUGCAUUCUUGAGAUUGAGAAUACAGAUGAGAAGCAGGUUUGAAUGGUGAAGAAAUGAUGGACGCUGUUUGUCUCAAACAAGGACUCUAAUGAUACAACAGAACAAGUCACAAGAAAGCUUGCCUGGAAAACCAUACACUGGCCUCUUCGUGGUGAAGUCCUUCACAAUCCUUACAAACAUAGAAAAUAUUCAGCAAUUCGUUUGUUUGUUUUCCAGUCCACUCUUACUUGAGAAAAAUGCAAAACAUCAAAGACACAGAAAAACCACCAGUCUAUACAGCUUGCCCAUACUAAAUUGUUAUUCAUUUCAGAAGAGUGUACAGUUUCUUUCUGUAAGACUCUAUUAAACCAGUUACUCUACAAUAGCAAACAUUUUAGGCAAACCUAACCAUUGCUUCCCAUAAAGAUAUUUAUAUCUUUAAGUGGUAUCUGAUUCAUCCCUAAGAAAUAUGUUAUCAAGAUGUUUGUUUGUUUGUUUGUUUGUUCAUUUGUUUUUGAGAUGGAGUUUCACUCUUGUUGCCCAGGCUGGAGUGCAGUGGCAUGAUCUCGGUUCACUGCAACCUCUGCCUCCCGGUUCAAGCGAUUCUCCUGCCUCAGCCUCCCGAGUAGCUGGGAUUACUGGCACCCACCACCACUCCCAGCUAAUUUUUUGUAUUUUUAAUAGAGACGGGGUUUCACCAUGUUGGCCAGGCUGGUCUCAAACUCCUGACCUCAGGUGAUCCACUUGCCUCGACCUCCCAAAGUGCUGGGAUAACAGGCAUGAGCCAUUGCACCCGGCCGAAGAUUUUUGUUUUGACUGUUUUUUUCUGAACUACAGGGAAACGAAGGCUUUUAUGUUAUUGUCCCCCUUUUCUCACUAACUGGACUUCCUGUGACACGUGAAGACGCUAUGCAUGUUUAAUAAAUACACUUUGAAUUUAA
rnacentral:lncRNA from 1 species